CAUUACCAUCAGACGACUCAGAUUUCAUCCGUACGAGCUGCAACACAACCUUAUACCCCGACCUCUGCGUCUCCUCCCUCUCAAACUUCUCAAGCUCCGUCCACGACGACCCAGCUCUCUUGGCUCGCGCCGCAAUCUCCGUCACUCUCUCCAAAGCUCUCGAGUUAGGCUCAUACCUCUCCAACGUCACCGCUCUCCUCAAGAGCCAGGAGGAAAAUGGGGGCCACCCAACCGCAGCCGCCGUUUUCCAUGACUGCUUCGAGAAUCUCAAAGACG
rnacentral:lncRNA from 1 species